AGGAAUGGCCAUAGCUCCAUGGUAUAGCAUCUACCUUGCACGCAGAAGGUCCCAGGUUCAAUUUCUGACAUUUCCC